UACGGAGGGUUCAAGCGGUAAUCGGAAUUACUGGGCGGAAAGCGUGCGCAGGCGGUUUUGUAAGUCUGAUGUGAAAUCCCCGGGCUCAACCUGGGAAUUGCAUUGGAGACUGCAAGGCUAGAAUCUGGCAGAGGGGGGUAGAAUUCCACGUGUAGCAGUGAAAUGCGUAGAGAUGUGGAGGAACACCGAUGGCGAAGGCAGCCCCCUGGGUCAAGAUUGACGCUCAUGCACGAAAGCGUGGGGAGCAAACAGG
rnacentral:rRNA from 1 species